AGAACGAACGUUGGCGGCGUGGAUUAGGCAUGCAAGUCGAACGAGAAAGCAUCCUUCGGGAUGUGAGUAAAGUGGCGAACGGGUGAGUAACGCGUGGGAAACCUGCCACAGAGUGGGGGAUAACAGCUCUAACGGGCUGCUAAUACCGCAUGACGCGACGGAUCGCAUGGUCUGUCGUUAAAGGAGGCCUCUUCUUGAAAGCUUCCGCUCGGUGAUGGUCCCGCGUCCUAUUAGCUUGUUGGUGGGGUAACGGCUUACCAAGGCGACGAUGGGUAGCCGGCUUGAGAGAGUGGUCGGCCACACUGGGACUGAGAUACGGCCCAGACUCCUACGGGAGGCAGCAGUCGAGAGGCUUCGGCAAUGGGGGAAACCCUGACCGAGCGACGCCGCGUGGGUGAUGAAGGUCUUUGGAUCGUAAAACCCUGUCAGGUGGGAUGAACCACCAUUCGGUUAAUACCCGAGUGGUCUGACAGUACCAUCAGAGGAAGCUCCGGCUAACUCCGUGCCAGCAGCCGCGGUAACACGGGGGGAGCAAACGUUGUUCGGAUUCAUUGGGCGUAAAGAGCUCGUAGGCGGCUUCGUAAGUCGGAGGUGAAAGGUCACGGCUCAACCGUGGGAACGCCCUCGAAACUACAAAGCUUGAGUCCGAGAGAGGAAAGUGGAAUUCCUGGAGUAGCGGUGAAAUGCGUAGAUAUCAGGAGGAACACCAGUGGCGAAGGCGACUUUCUGGCUCGGUACUGACGCUGAGGAGCGAAAGCUAGGGGAGCGAACAGGAUUAGAUACCCUGGUAGUCCUAGCCGUAAACGAUGGGCACUAGGUGUGGGGGGUAUCGACCCCCUCCGUGCCGCAGUUAACGCAUUAAGUGCCCCGCCUGGGGAGUACGACCGCAAGGUUG
rnacentral:rRNA from 1 species